rnacentral:rRNA from 1 species
UACAGAGGUCUCAAGCGUUGUUCGGAUUCAUUGGGCGUAAAGGGUGCGUAGGCGGCGCGGUAAGUCGGGUGUGAAAUCUCGGGGCUUAACUCCGAAACUGCAUUCGAUACUGCCGUGCUUGAGGACUGGAGAGGAGACUGGAAUUUACGGUGUAGCGGUGAAAUGCGUAGAUAUCGUAAGGAAGACCAGUGGCGAAGGCGGGUCCCUGGACAGUUCCUGACGCUGAGGCACGAAGGUCAGGGGAGCAAACGGG